ensembl:lncRNA
AGCGUCUGCGUUGCCAAGGGCUAAAAUAGAAUAUUUCUGAAGCAGAUCUCGCUGCAAGUCCUGCCUCUCCCAUCUCUUCAAUGGUUUACAGAAGGAGGUACCCAAGUGCCAUCUCCUCAUUGGUUAUACCCACGUGGGUGAUUGAAAGACAAACUGUUUUGCCGGUCGUCAUGGUAAUACUAUGAAAGUUUAAAUGCUAAUCACCAUAUAACUUCAAAGAUGAAAAAGCCUGGAAGGAGGAGAGAUGAAUAGAAACGAUUCGGUUGAUCGUUUUAUGUGUGGAUUGAUUGUCGGAGUAGAGGACCUUGUGCCUUUCAGCAGCUGGAUUUGGGUUCCCUGUGUGUUCAUCCCCAGGGUGAGUGGUCUAGCUCUAGUGUUUGUUGUUUUUCCAUUAUCGUUAUGUUCUCAUUUUUCGAGUAAAGUAUUUACGUUUAUCCUGAAUCAUUGAUUCCUCGUCUGGUCCGUUCUCUGCACCUGGGUCCAACCACAUCACAAGUACAGAGACACAGUGGAGCUGAAUGAAGCGUGGGACUAAAAACCAACAACAGAGAACCUUUGUAAAAAAAAAUACACUGUGACUUUAAAAUGUAUAUAGUAUGUAUAUGCUGGAAGUAGAAGCUUAAGUGUUAUUGUCUAUUAGUUU